rnacentral:rRNA from 1 species
AUUGAACGCUGGCGGCAAGCCUAACACAUGCAAGUCGAACGAGUGGCGGACGGGUGAGUAAUGUCUGUGAAACUGCCUGAUGGAGGGGGAUAACUACUGGAAACGGUAGCUAAUACCGCAUACCAUCGGAUGUGCCCAGAUGGGAUUAGCUAGUAGGUGGGGUAAAGGCUCACCUAGGCGACGAUCCCUAGCUGCGCUGAGAGGAUGACCAGCCACACUGGAACUGAGACACGGUCCAGACUCCUACGGGAGGCAGAAGAGGGGAAUAUUGCACAAGGGGCGCAAGCCUGACGCAGCCAUGCGGCGUGUAUGAAGAAGGCCUUCGGGUGGUAAAGUACGUUCAGCGGGGAGGCGUUACCCGCAGAAGAAGCGCCGGCUAACUCCGUGCCAGCAGCCGCGGUAAUAC